AGCGAUGAGCCCUGGAGUGAGCAGCUGUAUCUCUGGCACCUGGCACAGGGCAUGGCAUGAAGUGAAAGAUUCCCGAAUUUCUGUCGAAUGACUGGAUGGCAGGCUGCUGAACUGUCAUGACCUCUACGGAAACUGAUCUCACCAAACUUCUUUGGACAGACGCGGAGUCAUCUCUGAAGACCCCAGGUGUGCCACUAAAUGGGGGAAAGUUAGGCAGGUCCGGUGGGAAGGGGAGACCCCAGGAGAACAGCGGCUUCCUCAGAGGAUUCACAAACACACCAAAGUCAGACUUUUGGCUUGUUUGAAACCAGUAACUGGAAGAAGACACUGCCGGACCUGAGGAUUGCACAACUCCGGGAAAGUCACCUCAUUCCACUGAUAACAGAACCAAGCGUCAGCAGGCUUUCAACAGCCCGGAACUCAGCUAAAAUCUGCAGACCUCAGAACCGCCAGCAGCACGAGGACAGAGUCGGGGAGGUGUAGCUGGACAACAGCUCAUGAGGCAAACUUCAUCCUGUAGCCAUCCUCGUCCUGCAGACCCCGCUCCAGGGCGCGACGCUGGCGAGGGCACUUCCCUGAAGUUGGGGAACCCAUCAGACAGUGUGGGGGGGGCCCCGGCCAUCCCGCCUCCACUGCCCCGCCCCAGGCCCUCAGUCUCACCCUCAGCACACUGGCAGACUUCAGCAGAACACAAGGUGGCCAAGAGUCUGCUCUUACUUGGUGCCCCGUAAAACACAGAACAUCUGCGCUCUGGAGAACAGAGAGGAGUUAGGGCACAGGCCCCUCCAUUCUGCCUCCUCAGUCCCAGGGAGCCCCAGGGCUCUCUGCCCCCUCACUACCCCGGUGUCCAUUGUCCCAUAGGAGGGCACCUAUGCCAAAGUUCUCCUGAAUUUCAGGGUGUCCUGCAGUGCUCACCGGGGUUGUAGUAGUCGUACAGGGUUGCGCUGGCCGGCUGCACCAGCCCCACCGGCACUUCCUGCACAGCCUCAAAGCCCACGCACUCCCGGGAGGUGGGGACCUGGCCAAGCGUGGGGAGGAGAGAUGAGGGACCCACUCCCUGGGCCCUGCAGCCCCCUGUACUGGGUUUCCUUGGCCUGUUUUUGUUUGCUUCCUAUUGGCCUUCUCUCCAGUGUCCUUCACAUUCUGUUACCUUCCUACUCAGAGAACUCUCAAAGCUGCUCCGCAAGGUCUCUGGUGACUUCACUUCCCAGAGGGUGACCUUGCCCCAGUCUUCACUGCUCCAGGCCCUCAGCAGAGUCUUGCAUCAUGGACGUGUUCUCUGUGAAACUGUCCCUAAGCUAAGGGUUAGCUUCUGGACCACCCUUGGUUCUGACCUGGUCAUUUCUUACGUUCCCUCCUUCGGAACUUCCUUCCUCAGAGCUCCCCUGUGGGGGUCUCAACCACUCCCUGGCUUCCACCAAACCAAUCCAGGCUGAUGAUUCCCAAACUGAACUUGCAGCUCCAUCCUUGCAUUAGGAUUGUGGCAGGACCUGUAAGUUCUCCAAGGCACUCUGCCUGCCCCCAAACCCACUCGCCCUCCUCGCGGCCUCAUCUUUGUCAUGGAUACAACUGGGUCCUCCUUUAUUUGCCACAACCUAACUGCAGGUUCUGUCAUCCUGCCUGACCCCCCGACUCAGGUCCCAGGCCUGACCCCUCCUCGUGCCCACGCGGGCCCAGUCCACACGGUGCCGUGCCAGUGUCCCUCCUGAGCUAGGCUGCUGCACCGUCAGCUCCCUAUCCGGGAAUCUUGUUGGCUCUGUGUUUUCUAUUGUGUUCAACCCAGAUGUGUCAGCCAGGCUUCCCCAGCUGAUGGGGGCUGGCCCCUCUGCACACACUGGGUAGGGGUCUCCCUGACCUACAAACAGCUGGCUAAUGACAGCCACCACACCUUUCUCACAUUUUCUCCCAGAGGUUACAGUAAAUGUUCCAAAACUUUUUUUGAAGGCCGGGCAUGGUGGCUCUGGCCUGUAAAUCCGGUACUUUGAAAGGCCUAGGCCAGAGGAUCGCUUGAGGCCGGGAGUUCAAGACCAGCCUGGGCAACAGAGCGAGACCCUGUCUUUACUAAAUAAAUAAAUAAAAAUGUUUUGAGAGCCGU
ensembl:lncRNA C4A-AS1 C4A antisense RNA 1